AACGAACGCUGGCGGCAUGCCUAACACAUGCAAGUCGAACGAGACCUUCGGGUCUAGUGGCGCACGGGUGCGUAACGCGUGGGAAUCUGCCCUUGGGUUCGGAAUAACAGUUGGAAACGACUGCUAAUACCGGAUGAUGACGUAAGUCCAAAGAUUUAUCGCCCAAGGAUGAGCCCGCGUAGGAUUAGCUAGUUGGUGAGGUAAAGGCUCACCAAGACGACGAUCCUUAGCUGGUCUGAGAGGAUGAUCAGCCACACUGGGACUGAGACACGGCCCAGACUCCUACGGGAGGCAGCAGUGGGGAAUAUUGGACAAUGGGCGAAAGCCUGAUCCAGCAAUGCCGCGUGAGUGAUGAAGGCCUUAGGGUUGUAAAGCUCUUUUACCCGGGAUGAUAAUGACAGUACCGGGAGAAUAAGCUCCGGCUAACUCCGUG
rnacentral:rRNA from 1 species